rnacentral:rRNA from 1 species
AACGAACGCUGGCGGCAUGCCUAACACAUGCAAGUCGAACGAAGGCUUCGGCCUUAGUGGCGCACGGGUGCGUAACGCGUGGGAAUCUGCCCUCUGGUACGGAAUAACUCAGGGAAACUUGAGCUAAUACCGUAUAAUGACUUCGGUCCAAAGAUUUAUCGCCUGAGGAUGAGCCCGCGUCGGAUUAGCUAGUUGGUGAGGUAAAGGCUCACCAAGGCGACGAUCCGUAGCUGGUCUGAGAGGAUGAUCAGCCACACUGGGACUGAGACACGGCCCAGACUCCUACGGGAGGCAGCAGUGGGGAAUAUUGGACAAUGGGCGAAAGCCUGAUCCAGCAAUGCCGCGUGAGUGAUGAAGGCCUUAGGGUUGUAAAGCUCUUUUACCCGGGAUGAUAAUGACAGUACCGGGAGAAUAAGCCCCGGCUAACUCCGUGCCAGCCGCCGCGGUAAAAC